rnacentral:rRNA from 1 species
GGUUUAAUUCGAUGCAACGCGAAGAACCUUACCUACUCUUGACAUCCAGAGAAGCCAGCGGAGACGCAGGUGUGCCUUCGGGAACUCUGAGACAGGUGCUGCAUGGCUGUCGUCAGCUCGUGUUGUGAAAUGUUGGGUUAAGUCCCGCAACGAGCGCAACCCUUAUCCUUGUUUGCCAGCGAGUAAUGUCGGGAACUCCAGGGAGACUGCCGGUGAUAAACCGGAGGAAGGUGGGGACGACGUCAAGUCAUCAUGGCCCUUACGAGUAGGGCUACACACGUGCUACAAUGGCGCAUACAGAGGGCGGCCAACUUGCGAAAGUGAGCGAAUCCCAAAAAGUGCGUCGUAGUCCGGAUUGGAGUCUGCAACUCGACUCCAUGAAGUCGGAAUCGCUAGUAAUCGUGGAUCAGAAUGCCACGGUGAAUACGUUCCCGGGCCUUGUACACACCGCCCGUCACACCAUGGGAGUGGGCUGCAAAAGAAGUGGGUAGUUUAACCUUCGGGAGGACGCUCACCACUUUGUGGUUCAUGACUGGGGUGAAGUCGUAACAAGGUAGCGCUAGGGGAACCUGGCGCUGGAUCACCUCCUUAUACGAUGAU